rnacentral:tRNA from 1 species
GGCACCUUAGCCAAGAGGUAAGGCAGAGGUCUGCAAAAUCUCCAUCUCCGGUUCGAAUCCGGAAGGUGCCUCCA